rnacentral:rRNA from 1 species
GCUUGUCUCAAAGAUUAAGCCAUGCAUGUCUAAGUACAAGCCUCAGUAAGGUGAAACCGCGAAUGGCUCAUUAAAUCACACCUAAUCUACUGGAAAGGGUGUAUUUAUUAGAUGGAAACCAAUGCGGGGCAACCCGGAUUAUGGUGAUUCAUAAUAACUUUCAGAUCGAUCGCAAGAUCGAUGCAUCAUUCAAGUUUCUGCCCUAUCAGCUUUGGAUGGUAGGGUAUUGGCCUACCAUGGCUUUAACGGGUAACGGAGAAUUAGGGUUCGAUUCCGGAGAGGGAGCCUGAGAAAUGGCUACCACAUCCAAGGAAGGCAGCAGG